rnacentral:rRNA from 1 species
CCUACGGGAGGCAGCAGUGAGGAAUAUUGGUCAAUGGCCGGAAGGCUGAACCAGCCAAGCCGCGUGAAGGACGAAGGUGCCAAGCAUUGUAAACUUCUUUUGUCAAGGGACAAAAUCAGGCUCGAGAGCCUGACCGAGGGUACUUGAAGAAAAAGCAUCGGCUAACUCCGUGCCAGCAGCCGCGGUAAUACGGAGGAUGCGAGCGUUAUCCGGAAGUAUUGGGUGUAAAGGGUGCGUAGGCGGACUGUUAAGGCAGCGGUGAAAGCCGCGGGCUUAACCCCGGCAAGGCGUUUAAAACGGGUAUUCUUGAGUAUGGGAGAGGUAGGUGGAAUGCUCGGUGUAGGGGGAAAAUGCGUAGAGAUCACGAAGAACACUGAUUGCGAAGGCGAACU